rnacentral:rRNA from 1 species
UAGGGAAUCUUCCACAAUGGGCGAAAGCCUGAUGGAGCAACGCCGCGUGUGUGAUGAAGGCUUUCGGGUCGUAAAGCACUGUUGUAUGGGAAGAACAGCUAGAAUAGGAAAUGAUUUUAGUUUGACAGUACCAUACCAGAAAGGGACGGCUAAAUACGUGCCAG